AAAACACAGCGAUAUGCAUCUCACAAAUUUGGUCGGGUGGCAUUUCUACCUCGUUUAUUUACCCUUGCAUCAAUCUUCCAUAGGCGAAGUCCAAAUACAAAAUUAAAUAAACUUUACACGUUAUUUAUUUCUGUAAUUGCAAAGAGUUGUCUAUUUUCUGUUACAAAUCAAGGAUGAUAUAGAGGCGCGGGAUAGCAAAAUAAUCACGAAAUUAGAGAUGGAUUUGGAGGAAAUAAUUAGCUGAGAAGCCGAUGUUAGAGGUUUCGACGUUUCUAAGAGAAUGUUUUGGUCAGUGGAAUUAUUGGAAGUGAUCAAAACUGGAGAUAUGCGGCGAAGCAAUUUGUGAAGGUUUAUCCUAGCGAAGUUGUUGUGCUUUAUGAGUUCGAUGUUGUCUGAUUUUGCCUUUUCUUUUGUUUGAUUGUGUUAUUGCCUAUUCGUUUCCAUUGUUGUUCAUUAUCAUCAAGCAAAAUGCAAAUUCUUGAUGUUAUAGUUUAGUUUCGAUGUCCAAGGUCUCAGGGCUUAUUGAUUGUGGUAAAUUUUGUGUAUUGAAUUAUUGAAAGUUAAGAAUGCCUCAAUGAUGACAUAUAACUGAUGAGGCUUCUUAGUUUGUUAUGAGUAACUACUUGAGUCGAAACAAGCUUGGUCUCAUCUGCGGUGCUAAGUUAUUUUAUGAUACAAUGCAAACGGCAAGGGCACUUUAUCGUCUUUUACAUAUAAAUCUUCUCUUCGUUGGUGCUUUAGAACUUCUCGAAAUGUAGUAACAUAGUGUUUAGCUCUAUUGCUCGAGCACGGAAUAAUGCACAUCUUAUUAGUGCUCAUGAGAUUACAUAAUUCUGUACUAGAUAGACCUUGAUUAAUCGAAAUUCUGAAGCUAUGUUUAUUUUAGUAUUCUUUCAAAUAAAACUUGUUUUACUGUCAUUGCUAGAAAGUAGAUGAAUGAAGCCAAAAGCUUUAAAUGUAAUGUUUCAAAUCAAGUUGGUAUAUCCAGGCAGUGAAUCCAACGCUUCAAUGUUGACACUCGGUGGAGUUGACGCUAUGGGGAAGAGAUUAGCCGAUGAGGUCUGUUUAUAUCCUACAAAAGAGACUUUUUUUCAUUAUAUAUCGUAAUCUCCACAUGAAUCAUCAAUAUAUGAUCACCUUAGUUCUUGUUUUCACCUUCUAUCCAUCAAGCAUAAAUGACUAGGUCACUAGAGCCUUCACUAGAUCAAAAUCUCCUUUAGAAAUACAGCUUAAAUCAUCAUUUUAAUGACUGAAUCUCUAGCUGAUUUCUGCUGUUGUUUGUCAUUCAAAUCUUGAGAAGAAUUCUUUUGUGGGUCACUCUCUUAUGCUGUGCUUUACCAACAAGAUUUGACAAGAAAAGAUUCUGACAAAAAUGGCGAAUGUAGAGAAAACAAGAGGGAUAAUAGCUGGACUUGAACCUAUGAAUUUCAUGACCUCCGUAACACCUCGUCUUUGAGCUAGAGGUCGCAGACAGGUUGUCCUUGUUAGAUGUCUUCUCUUUCACUCAGAAUGGAUUUAUUGCAAUUUUCUUGGACUGUCUUAUGCAUCAGUUGGCCUACGAUUGCUUUCGACAAUGUGUACUUGAUAUAUGCAUGAUCUAAAAUAUGCAUCUCAUGUGUAGAUUUAUCUUCUCUUUCCGAGAAAUUCUAUUGCACAUCACAUGCCUUGUACUUGAUCAUUUGAUCGAUCAUUUAGAUUGCUUCUAUGCAUGCUCGAAUCAUUUGCUUUCUCCAAGCUGUGAUGAUCAAGUUCAUGUCACUUGUGAGUCGCCUUUUCUUCCAAGUGUUGAGUUUUUACAUAAAACUACUGAUUCUUAAUCUCGUUCCAGAUCUGCAUUGCAGUUGUUUAUAAGGUGCGGAGCCUUAGCAACCAUGAACCACCAGUUUCGAUCGUAUCCUUGUUUUAUUCGAACCAUCAUCAUCUCUUUAAGUAUAUCAUUUUUUCUCAGAUUGGUUGCAACCAUGACAGGUUUUACGCAGGUUUCAGUACAAUCUACAAGGGCCUCUCGCCUACACCACGAUUCAGGCAAGUAAUCGGACACUAUCAGGUGAUCGUGUAACAUAUGGAGUAUUGUUUUCUCGAGCCAACGAGGAAUGAGUUACUGAAGUAAUGGUGAUUUUUGCCUAUGUAGGUUCAAACUUACUUUGCAUCAUCUCUCAUACUACAACAUAUGACUGUCCACUUCCAAUUUAACCUCUAUUGUUAAUUUUGUUGAAAAGCAUGACGACGCCCAUUCGCAGGCCGGCGAGUGGGCGUCACGCCUCGCGCCAGAGCUCGCCAGCUUCAUCGAGGCGGAGGGACACACGACGUGACGGGAGGGCUGCAUCACUAUCUCGAUGAUAGCUCGUCUCUCUGAGACGAAUCCGAGCCCGCAUCGAGAUGGCGAUGCGGAUGCUCUUAAUUGCUUUUGGAAGACGAUCUAAGAUAGAUCAAGGUUCUUCCUUGUUAAAAUUUAGAGGCAUGAACUGUAUCUACCUCAUACUCUAAGGUGGCGUUCGGUUGUCAUGACUAAUAUCAUGAGACUAUCCAUCUAGGAUUAAGUUGUGAGAAUAUUUUAGUUGGAGGGGGAGGCUAUGACUAAUUAUCAUGAGACUAUUCAUCUAGGAUUAAGAUGUAGGAUUCAAUCUUAUUAACCAAACAUGAUACAUAUUUAAUCAUAGAUUUAAUCUUAGCAACCGAACACCCCAUAAACGUAUCCUUUAUAUAUUGGGGACAUCUACCUAGAGAUAGUUAAGUGUAAAAAAAUUUAUAACUAGAAUAAGUUAUAUCCAAAGUGCAAAAUUUGAUCCCCAAUAAGGUCCCCGUGCUAUCAAACUUCAUGAUUUUUAACGAUCUUUAAAAUUAAUAAAAAAAAUGCAAAAUUCUAUAAUUUUUAGAAUAAUAUUUAUAGCUUGUCCAAUUUUUUGAAUAUUUACCCUUUCAUUAUUUCACAUUUGGAUUUCUUAAUAUAGUUUGUCCUUCACUAGUACUCCCUUCGUUCCUUCAUAGUUGAGUCAUUUUUCCAUUUCGAGAAGUUCCUUUGUAGUUGUGUCAUUUCCACAUAUGAUAACUUUUUCUCUUUCUUAUUUACUCUCUCUUACUUUAUUCACUUUAUACUUUAUUUUUUCAACCUUUUCUUCUCUUUUAUUUUUUUUAUCUAUUUAUUUAACACACUUAAUAUUACUUUCUAAAAUUCUGUGUCGAAAACUUUUGCCUCAAAUAUUAAGAAACGGAGGGGGUACUUAUUAUUAUUAAAAUAUAAGGAGUACUUUAACUUUUAAGUGAGUCGUUAGUUCCCGAAAAAUGUCGUAAUAGAAUUAAUGUGUGGACAUAUGGGAAAUUGGGCUUAGACAUAUAGGGUUUAUGAUGAUUUCAAUGAAUAUUAAAAAUAGAGUGUUGAUAAUCAACCAAAAUUUGGACAACCAAAUAAGGAUAUAUUAGUAAUUUUAUGUAUUAGUUAUAUAUUAAAAUAUUAAAUGCAGUUAGUGGAUAUAUUAAAAUGACUAUAUUAUCCUUCAGCCUUUUUCAAUUUUUGAACUCCCUCCCUUUUAGGAUUUUUCAAAUUUGAAUUUAAAGAUAUGGAUAAAAAAGUAAAAAAUUAAUUCACAAAUUUUUAAAACAUGACCUCAAUGUUCUGCACAUUUCAAAUUAAAUUAAAGUAAGAUGUACCAGAACAUAUUUAUAAUAUUAUGUACUGUACAAAUUAUAUUAAAAUAUUAAUUAAUAUAUUAUAUAAAAAUACUGUGUACACAAUAUUUUAGCACUUUUACUGUUUUUACGAUUUUAAAUAUUGAAUGUGUUGCAAAACAAAGCUAAUUUGAUGGUACACUAAUACACAACCAUAAUGCUUUAAAUUAAGAGAGAGAACAUAAUACUGUGUUUUAUUUUUAAAAUUCAUCCAAUUUUUUGGAUUAAUCCAUUCCAUCAAAUAUAGCUCGACCCAUCCAAUUAUUUUGCUAGAUUCAUCAAAUUUAUCAUCUUCAUCAAUUUUUACUUAUUUUUUGGGAUUCAUUUUGUUAAUCCUGAAAAUCGACCAUCCGUUCAUCUUCCAAUAUCGAACACAAUAAAAAAUCCAAAAAAACAAAAAAUCGAAGAGUCCCAAAUCUGCAAAAAUCCAACAAAAUUGAAGAAUAUCCUAAAACUUGCAUUCUCCAACUUUGAAAUUAUAACUUCAUAUCAAAAAUUAAACAUUGACAGCAAUAAAACUCACAAACCUAAAAAUAAAAAUGCAAUUCCCAAUCAAAAAUUUCAAAAUCAAAAUGCAGAGAACAGCAAUCCAUAACUCAAAUGCAAUUCUAUCUUCAAACCCACAAACCCAUAUCCAAAAAGUUAAAGUCUGAAAAUGGCUCAAGAAGGUAAAGACACCUCUCUUCACCGCCAAAACUCCGCCACGUCGGAGGACCAUACCAAAAUGGUGGGUGGCGCCGUGGCGGCGAGGUUAGAAAACCCUAGAUUCCCUAAUUGAAAGUUGAGGAAUGAGGGAAAGAGAAGAGAAAGUGCGAAUAGGGAAAAA